GCCGUAGACCCGCGACCUGGAGCAGCUCAGAGGCGGUGAAUAAUAGCUUUUCAUGUCUGCAAUAAAAAAUGGCCUCCAAUAAAACUACAUUGCAAAAAAUGGGAAAGAAACAGAAUGGGAAGAGUAAAAAGGUUGAAGAGGCAGAGCCUGAAGAAUUUGUGGUGGAAAAAGUACUGGAUCGACGUGUUGUAAAUGGGAAAGUGGAGUAUUUCCUGAAGUGGAAGGGAUUUACAGAUGCUGACAAUACUUGGGAACCUGAAGAAAAUUGGAUUGUCCAGUUAAUCGAAGCAUUUCUUAAUUCUCAAAAAGCUGGUAAAGGAAAAGAUGGUACAAAAAGAAAAUCUUUAUCUGACAGUGAAUCUGAUGAUAGCAAAUCAAAGAAGAAAAGAGAUGCUGCUGACAAACCAAGAGGCUUUGCCAGAGGUCUUGAUCCUGAAAGAAUAAUUGGUGCCACAGAUAGCAGUGGAGAAUUAAUGUUUCUUAUGAAAUGGAAAGAUUCAGAUGAGGCAGAUAUGGUGCUGGCAAAAGAGGCAAAUAUGAAGUGUCCUCAAAUUGUAAUUGCUUUUUAUGAAGAGAGACUAACUUGGCAUUCUUGUCCAGAAGAUGAAGCUCAAUAAUUGUUUGCAUUGCUCACUCGCGCGCGCACGCUCGCUCGCUCGCGCUCUCUCUCUCUCUCUCUCUCUCUAUAUAUAUAUAUAAAAUCUAGGUCUUGGUUUUUGAUUUACUAGUGUGAAGAAAAUAACUACAUCUAAUAAAUCAAGUUUGAUACAUUUGUUUUGAAAGUAGUAUUGAGAGAGUUGUUGGGGGGGUUGCAUCAAUAGCACUGGUUACUUUGAAAAAAUAAAAGCUUUCUGUAGUUGCUUCCUUUAUCAGAAAGAAAAAAAAAAAAAAAAACUAACCCAAGAGGAAAAAACCUGAAAGCCCAACAACUAAUGAAGAGAACUAUAAUAGCUAGUCUUACCACCCCUUCAAUGAAUAAUCAUUCUUUUAUUGGGGAAGGCAGGGAGGGGUUAAGUUCUUAAAUGCAGUAUGAAAAACAAUAGGACAAAGUAACAUAUCCAUCACCCUGAAAGACAAUUUUUAGCAUUUUGCUACAUUUGCUUCAAGUCGUUUUUAUAUGAAAGAAGAAAAAACUACAGAUAAUAACAACUACAAAUAUGUCUUUAAUGUUACCCUGUAGCACUUCUAUGUUAAGGCAGGAUCUCCAGAUCUGAGAUCUCCGAGAGGAAAUGAGCAACAGGAGCCAGCCCUCAUGGGGCUCCCAGGAGUGGGAAACCAGGGUCACCUAGUGAGACUGUCCACCUCCACACCCACAACAGUGUGAGACAGGUGUAACUAUUCUGUUCCAUAAGUACAGAGACUAACACCUGGGUCAUCCAGCUAGGAGAUAGGCAACACUCAGACACAGACAAUCUACUUCAGGUAUCACCUCCCACAGGUCUCUCAGACACAGACAACCUACUUCAGGUAUCACCUCCCACAGGUCUCUGAUGAGGAGUGAAUGAAUAAAGCACACACAGAGGCAGUCUACCUUAUUCUCGAAAUAUAAGUUCCAUGUAUUCUCCUCCAGAGGCAAUAUCCAUCAUGAAUUUACUAUACAUCCUCCCAGUCUGUAGUAUAUAUCCAUUAACACAGAAUUAUGGCACGUGGUUUGUAUUUCUAUAAAUCCUACGUUAUGCCUUUGCUCUGCAAUUUGAUCACUCAACAUAUUUUUAUCUGUGUUGAUAUGUAUAAAUAUAGCUCAGUCUUUAACUACUGUGUAUCAUUCAUCACGUAAAUAUUUCAUAAAUUGUUUAAGCUAUUUAUAAAAGAUGAUGGAAAUACAGAACACAGAAAAUGAUGUAAAGUUUCCCAAAAACAUUAUGCAAUGUUGGCAUAACCCUCAUACCAAAACCAGAAAACAAAAAAGGGUAUAAAAAAAAGCUAUAGAUCAAGAUCAAUCAAGAAUUAUUUUAAAAAAAUAGAAGUAAAUCAAACCCAUCCACUACUAAGUUAGAAGAAUAAGAUACCAUGGCCAAAGAGGGUUUAUCCAAAAAUGUAAGGAUGACUCAAUAUCAGUAACUCGAUUAAUGUUGUCACCAUGUUAGCAGAUUACAGAAGAUUUUUGGUGAAGAUGGCUAAAUUUUUUUUUUUUUUAAGAGACAAGUUCUCAUUCUGUCACCUAGGCUACAGUGCAGCAGUAUGAUCA